GACGAACGCUGGCGGCGUGCCUAAUACAUGCAAGUCGAGCGCUCAAGAGAGGAGCUUGCUCUUCUUGGAUGAGUUGCGAACGGGUGAGUAACGCGUAGGUAACCUGCCUUGUAGCGGGGGAUAACUAUUGGAAACGAUAGCUAAUACCGCAUAACAUUGUGUGCCACAUGUUUUUUAUUUGAAAGGCGCCAUUGCUCUAUUACAUCAUGGACUUGCGUUGUCUUAGCUAGUAGGUGAGGUAAUGGCGCACCUAGGCGACGGUACCUAGCCGACCUGAGAGGGUGGUCGGCCACACUGGGACUGAGACACGGCCCAGACGGCUACAGGAGGCAGCAGGAGGGAAACGUCGGGAAUGGGGGGAACCCAGACCGAGGAACGCCGCGGGAGUGAAGAAGGUUUUCGGGUCGGAAAGAUCGGUUGUAAGGGAAGAACGGGUGGGAGAGUGGAAAGUUCACAGUGUGACGGUAGCUUACCAGAAAGAGACGGCUAACUACGUG
rnacentral:rRNA from 1 species